CAAAAUUUACAAACUCAAAUAAUACAAAACUUUAAAGCCCAAAUGGCCCGCAACUUAAACUAUUUUCAGUAAAACUAAAAAUUUUAGUCGUCGUUCCUCUCGCGCCGCCCGAGGCACUUCGUCCCGAGGCCUGACGCCACUGGCGCCAUUGCACCAAAACGACAAAGGCAACCCUUCUCUCAUCUCUGUUGACCACGCACGGUACCUGAUAAAAGAACGAAAAAGGACAGAACAACAAAGAAAUAACGCAACAGAAACAAUAGAAACAUUGAAAAUAUAUAGAAAAAUCAAGAUCUAAUGUAUUAUUCGGCUAUAAAAGCCAGGUCCACCAUGUAUUCUUUUACACACACGAAAAGCAAUAAAAAAACAACAGAAUAGAAAAUUUUAAAGGUGAUUUUUUUCUAUUUUCUUAAGAAUUUAUUUUUAUAAAUAAAACAUAAAAUAAAAAGGAAAAGUUUAAAAACCGCACCUGACGGUUUGCAUUCCGUUGUCGUGAAUGGCCGAGGCUGUCGUCUCUGAUGAAAGGUGACUCCCUUCCAAAGACCCUAAAAUCGAAGGGUUCUUCUUUUCUUUUCUUUUUUUGCGAUUUUAACGUUUAAAAAAAAUAACUCCAAAUCGGGGUUUGGAGAGUCAAAAAGCAAAAAAAAAUGGGCCCUUUUGCUUUUUUGGCCACCAUGGGCGGCGGCGCUGUCAUCGGUGAUCGGUGGCCGCCACGGUGUCUGAUGGGCGGAGCCAACGCCGGACCUAGGGACUGAGAGAGAAAAAGGAG
rnacentral:lncRNA from 1 species